rnacentral:lncRNA from 13 species
AUUGAGACCAUCCUGAGCAACAUGGUGAAACCCUAUCUCUACUAAAAGUACAAAAAAUUUGCCGGGCGUGGUGGUGCGUGCCUGUUGUCUCAGCUACUCAGGGGACUGAGGCAGGAGAAUUGCUUAAAACCGGAAAACGGAAGUUGCAGUGAGCUGGGAUCGCGCCACUGCAUUCCAGCCUGGUGACAGAGCCAGACUCUGUCUCAAAGAAAAACAAACAAACAAAAAAACAAUGACGAAACACAGUAAGUUCACAGAACACUCUCCUGGUAAGGGAAGAUUGCCUCAACUGAGCGCGUGUACAACUCCAGUGAACACACUGUGCAUGCAACCCUACCAAGUUCCAGCAGGCCACUCUGUGUAGGGACAGCCUACCCCAAUGGAACAAUCGAGAGAAAAAGAACACAACAUCCCUGGAAGCAUGCCAAUGGAUAAAACCCCAAGUUAAAGGUCAAACAGUGCAUUUGAAUAUCUCAAGUCGCCUGUGUGGCCCUCUUCCAAGUGCAUUUUACUUCCUUUUGGUCCUGCUCUAAUACUUUUUAAUAAAAGUUUAUGCCUGCU